GUUUCAGUUCUUGCACCUGCUCAGUACAUUGAUGACAGUUUCCUGAAUACGUGUAACUAACAGAUGCAUGUGCUUGUAUAUGCCAUGUGGAGAUUUUAGGCUUACUAAAUUUUGGGCCUCGCUGAGAUCCCCUCACAGAUCCCCUGUGAUGCUUCUGAAACUAUGUAUACAAGAUACAUCACUCACCAUACUUUGCCAAUGCCACUCAGGUAAAUACAGUACAGGAGAAACUAUAGAAGCUUU